rnacentral:lncRNA from 1 species
UUACGUCUUGUUGAGGACAUGUUAGGUGUCAAGCAAGGCAGAUUGGUUGUUGCUGAUUCUGUUUAGUUUUCUGUUGCUAGGGCUUUGCCCCCCUCUUUCAUCAAAUAAAUAAAUAUAUUGAGGUGUACUUAUAAUGUAGGUGGUGUGAUAUGGAGGUGAGUAUGUAAAUUAGGUUUUACUUGAAUAUCUCUGGUCCUAAACCCUCGGCCGAUGUGAAAUUGAGGAGAGGGGAUUCGUAGAAGGAUAAGCUCUGCGUGAAGUGGAAGACUCUACAAGCUAUGCUCAAGUAGUGCCAUAGAGCCCUCGAGUCGCUCGACAUCACUGGGGGUUCUAACGGCAACGAUGAUGGAGAUUAUGACGAUGAGGUUGAUGACAAUAACAGUUAUCGUGGUGCGAUCUCUCAUAUCUUUCUUCUGCCCUCCUCCUCCCACUCUCUAAAAGCAGCAUCUGUUUUCGGUAAAGCUCUCGACGGCUCUACUGGCCAAGGCCAAGCUCAAUGACUUUGGAUUGAUGGAGUCCUUCUCUAUAACAUAAGGAAAUAU